rnacentral:rRNA from 1 species
UACGGGGGGGGCAAGCGUUGUUCGGAAUUACUGGGCGUAAAGGGUUCGUAGGUGGCCAACUAAGUCAGACGUGAAAUCCCUCAGCUUAACUGGGGAACUGCGCCUCAAACUACAUGGCUAGAGCAUUGGAGAGGGAAGUGGAAUUCACGGUGUAGCAGUGAAAUGCGUAGAUAUCGUGAGGAACACCAGAGGCGAAGGCGACUUCCUGGACAAUUGCUGACACUCAGGCACGAAAGCGUGGGGAGCAAAAGGG